rnacentral:tRNA from 1 species
GCGAGAGUGGUGGAAUUGGUAGACACGCAAGACUUAGAAUCUUGUGCCUAUGGUGUGUGGGUUCGAGUCCCACCUCUCGCA